rnacentral:rRNA from 1 species
ACCCGCACAAGCGGUGGAUGAUGUGGAUUAAUCGAUGCAACGCGAAAACCUUACCUACCCUUGACAUGUCCGGAAUCCCGAAGAGAUUUGGGAGUGCUCGCAAGAGAGCCGGAACACAGGUGCUGCAUGGCUGUCGUCAGCUCGUGUCGUGAGAUGUUGGGUUAAGUCCCGCAACGAGCGCAACCCUUGUCAUUAGUUGCCAUCAUUUGGUUGGGCACUCUAAUGAGACUGCCGGUGACAAACCCGGAGGAAGGUGGGGAUGACGUCAAGUCCUCAUGGCCCUUAUGGGUAGGGCUUCACACGUCAUACAAUGGUCGGUACAGAGGGUUGCCAACCCGCGAGGGGGAGCUAAUCCCACAAAGCCGAUCGUAGUCCGGAUCGCAGUCUGCAACUCGACUGCGUGAAGUCGGAAUCGCUAGUAAUCGUGGAUCAGCAUGUCACGGUGAAUACGUUCCCGGGUCUU